AGAGUUUGAUCCUGGCUCAGAACGAACGCUGGCGGCAGGCCUAACACAUGCAAGUCGAACGAUACAGUGGCAGACGGGUGAGUAACGCGUGGGAACGUACCUUUCACUACGGAAUAGCUCCGGGAAACUGGUGGUAAUACCGUAUACGCCCUCAGGGGGAAAGAUUUAUCGGUGAAAGAUCGGCCCGCGUUGGAUUAGCUAGUUGGUGAGGUAAUGGCUCACAAAGGCGACGAUCCAUAGCUGGUCUGAGAGGAUGAUCAGCCACAUUGGGACUGAGACACGGCCCAAACUCCUACGGGAGGCAGCAGUGGGGAAUCUUGCACAAUGGGCGAAAGCCUGAUGCAGCCAUGCCGCGUGAAUGAUGAAGGCCUUAGGGUUGUAAAAUUCUUUCGUCAGGGAUGAUAA
rnacentral:rRNA from 1 species